AUACGUAGGGGGCGAGCGUUGUCCGGAAUGACUGGGCGUAAAGGGCGCGUAGGCGGCCUGGUAAGUUAGGAGUGAAAUUCCAUUUUUCAAGGAUGGACGUGCUUUUAAUACUGUCGGGCUAGAGUGCAGAAGAGGUAAGCGGAAUUCCCAGUGUAGCGGUGAAAUGCGUAGAGAUUGGGAAGAACACCAGUGGCGAAGGCGGUUUGCUGGCUGCAUACUGACGCUGAAGCGCGAAAGCCAGGGGAGCGAACGGGAUUAGAUACCCCGGUAGUCCUGGCAGUAAACGAUGUAUGCUGGGUGUGAGACUAGCGAUAGUUUCGUGCCGAAGUUAACGCGAUAAGCAUACCGCCUGGGGAGUACGGUCGCAAGAUUGAAACUCAAAUGAAUUGGCGGGG
rnacentral:rRNA from 1 species